rnacentral:rRNA from 1 species
AGUGAACGCUGGCGGCAGGCCUAACACAUGCAAGUCGAGCGGCAGCAGAGUAAGAGCUCGUUGUUACGGCUGCCGAGGGGCGGGCGAGGGCGGGGUACAUGGCAAUCUACGGUUUCUAGGGGGAGGACGCAGGGGCACAUACGCCAAUAGCGCAUACGGCGUACGGGUGAGAGCAUGGGAUCUUCGGACCUUGCACGAGUCUAUGAGCCGAUGUCGGAUUAGCUAGUUGGAGGGGUAAAGGCCCACCAAGGCGACGAUCCGUAGCUGGUCUGAGAGGAUGAUCAGCCACACUGGAACUGAGACACGGUCCAGACUCCUACGGGAGGCAGCAGUGGGGAAUAUUGGACAAUGGGCGAAAGCCUGAUCCAGCCAUGCCGCGUGUGUGAAGAAGGUCUUCGGAUUGUAAAGCACUUUUGUUUGGGAAGAAAAGCAGUAAGUUAAUACCUUGCUGUUUUGACGGUACCAAAAGAAUAAGCACCGGCUAACUUCGUG